rnacentral:lncRNA from 1 species
CUUGGCUAGGCAGGGUCCCGCUGCGGCAUUGCCUGGGCGUUGGGCGGCGGCACAUCGCUCACCGCGAUCGUCGCCACGGUCCCGCGACUUCCGGAGUCCGGCUUGGCGGAACCAGGCUGAGAGAAGGUCCAGCGGACCUUCAAGGAUGCCCAGGGCGAUGGAAUCCGAGGAAUCCCUAGAUGAUUCAGGCCAGUCCAGACGAUCUUGGGGUGCGUCUCCUUGAAGGCUGUCCCCGCUGGGAAUUAAAGGUAAGGUUAGCCUGUGUGCUGCGGGGUGCUCUAACCCCGAGGGCCUUCCCGGAAGAGAGAAGAACCGCACAGCCUCAGGAGCUGCCUGCGACUGUUGGAUUUCCCCGCGUGGCUUAGUCUCCGUGUGUGUGUGUGUGUGUGUGUGUCUGCUCGUAUGUCUCCGUGUGUGUUCACGUGUGUGUACCUGUGCUUGUGCUGCUUGUGGCCGGGGCUCGCGUCACAGUGACGGCCGCCGUGUCCUGGGCAACCGUCUCAGCGGUUUGCCAAGGCAGGGGCCCGCUGCGGCAGUACCUGGGCUUUGGGCGACGCCCCCCACCCCACCGCGAUCGUCACCACGGUCCGCGAUUUCCGGAGUCCGGCUUGGCGGAACCAGGCUGAGAAAAGGUCCAGGGGACCUUCAGGGAUGCCCAGGGCGAUGGAUCCCCAAGGAUCCCCUUGAUGUUUC